GCCAUUUGCGGGGGCGUGGGUAACCCUGCCGUCGAAAGCCCCUCGGCCCAAUCCAAUCUCCUGCACUCCACAACCCUCCCUCCCUCCUCGAUCUCUCUGCCUCAGCCGCCAUAAAUCCUAGGUCCUCCCCUUCUGCCCUGCUCUCCACCGCGCCGCCUCCUCCUCCCCUUCACCGUUCCCUCCAGCGGCAGGCAUAGGGAGACAAUGGCAGCGCUCGAUUUGAUCUGCCCCGCUCCCCUCCCUCUCCACUGCGCCUCGGCCUUGGCCGCCCCGUGCUCUGUCGGCGCCCUUCGUCCUCGAUCCGGCCUCGGAAGGAGGAGUUUUGUUUGCUCCUACGGAUGCUAAUGUGGCUGCCAUAUCUGUGCCAAGCAGUGCCUGCUUGUAUGACUUGUUGUAUUCAUCGUUAUUAUAAUGUUGGUAAAGAUUAAUAAGGCUUAGGAGCAUUAUAUUUGAGUGUCAUGAAGGGUACUUGGUGCUUUUACUAUGUUACGCACUUGAUGCCAACUGAAGAUUUAAGACUCGUGAAUAUGCUCAAGGGUAGAAAUCUGUGCUACAAAGAAAUGAUGUGAUCUUCAAAAAGGUUGGUGCGCCAUCUAGAAAAUGGAAACAAAAACAUAUUAUAUGCUUUUUGUAUGCCAAUCUGCCUCUAAACCAGCUAGGCACACCACUAUAGAGAAUCUGCGCAGAGCACAAUUCCUUCUGGUGUAUCAUCUUGUAUGACUGUAAUAAGACUAUAUAGAGCAUAAUUUACAUAAAAGGGCCUAGAGGCAUCAUUUGCUUGUUGACAAAAAAAUGUUCCAACACAGUUUAUCCUGCCGUAACUCAUGACUCAGGACCAAUAUAGGUAGAUUGGUACAGUUCCGGUGCUUUCUUGCUGUUGUUUAUGCUCUACACAAUCUGCUGUAACUUCAUAAUAACAUGCCAUUUGGUGUCUUGUUUCUGCAGAAAAAUGAAGCAAGACAAGCUGGAGAAGCUCGCACGGACAUCCAAUUUCUUGUACCACUCAACUGAGCCGAGUUACUUGUGGAGACUAUAAGAAGAAUUUUUAGGAAGAGUUCGAUCAAGAAGAGCAAGGCCGACACCCAUAGUUGUUUGGCAUCAAAUUCAGAAGAUACACAUCCUAAGAUUGAAGCAAUGCUACCUGAACCAAAGGGUUGUACGCCCACCAUUAUUAAUAUUCCAUACUAUUCAUGUUCUUUAGAUCCCAAUAAUUUAUUUGGUCUUGCUUUUGACAUAAAACACAAGUACAGGCAAAGAGAAGACGAGGUCAAACCCAAACACCGGAAGGUAUCUUGGCACCAAACCAUCAUGAGGAGAAGGGGAUGUGUUGUUGUACAUGAGGUGUUAAUAAAGUUUCACAUUCUUUGUUCUGGUAGAUUUGGUGUGUUGGGUUGCCAUGUUUGCUGUAUUUAUUUUCCUUAGAUUUCUCUAGUGUUUUUGGUGCAAAUUGAUCAGGGAGGGCCUAGGAUUUUCUCAAGUUUUUGUCAGGUUAUUCUAUGUAUAGGACUGUGCUUCUAUGUGUCGUUUCCUUCAAACUGUCAUUGCAACAAAAGAUGAAAGGUGUCUUCGCGAUCAGUAGACCAGUGUGUGAUACCGCUUGUUGUAGUUCUAUUGCUAUGCAUACAUGGGCAAUAAAUGCAAGUAAUAUAGUUUUGAUGAUGUAUGAGUGUAUCUUGUGUAUGUGCAGAUAAGCAGCCCUGUUCAGAAGUGCUUUAUAGAGGUCCUGUAAGCUUUCUAGACAUACAUGUUGUUUCUAGUCUCUCUCGGCUUCCCCAAUCCUAGAGGUAAUAAUAUGAUUUAUUUAUGUUGUUUGCCCAAAUUAAGAAGUGAACUUUUGCUACAUAUUUGCUCGAUGUGUGUCCUGUAAACUCUAAGCUUUCUAGGCAUACAUGUGCAUGUGUAUUUGUUAGUUACUAAUAUGAAUUAUGGAUGUUGUUUGCCGAAAUUCAGAAUUGAACUUUUGUUGUAUACUUGCUCGCUGUGUGUCCUAUAAACUCUAAGUUUUCUGGGCGUGCAUGUACACGUGUAUUUGUUAGGUAAUAAUAUGAUUUCUUUAUGUUUUUUGCCAAAAUUCAGAACUAAACUUUUGCUAUAUAUUUGCUCACUGUAUGUGAUGUAAACUGUGUCACCAUUUUCCCUAAGAUCCACUAUGACAAUGAAAAAGAUUUCUCAGAACUGUGUCACCAUAAAUGUUCCAUCAUUGUCCAUAUCAGUCCCAUGCCAUAUUAAUUUCAGAAGAAUAAAUUCUUAUUCAGAUGUUCAUUGUGUUUUUAUGUACUGCUAUAUCUAAAAAAGCAAGUUUCAGCUAAAACCAGAGCCAUGGUUAAGAUACUCUUUGCACCUAGGAUAUGUGUAUAUGUUCAGAUUGCUAACUCUAAACUAUAGUUUUAGAAAAUGUGGUGCCCUCGCUUAUUUUUCUAAUGCAUGAACUUAGGGUAAAUGUUUUAUGUGUAAUGCGUGCUUGAUUUCUUUUUUAUUCUGGUGGACUUUGAUUUUCUCCACCAUGCUUCUCUCCAAUGGGAUGAGUCUGUUUUCGCAGCAGCUGGUGAUGCAUGUGCUUAUUGUUGGCUGUUGCUAUGUGGUAUGCAUUUUCUCAUUGUUGGUUGUUUGUUGUUUGCUACGAUUAAGAUACAUUGGCAUGUACAUUUUAUAUCAGUUUUGUUUUCAACACCACCUAUCACUGUAUAAUUUGCCGUUAAUAGAGUAGUUUCUCCUUUAUUGCAUUGCAUAAUGCUAGCAAGCUACACUGCACCAUAAACAAAAAUAAUCCUCUUCCAAGGUUAAACCUGUUUUUUUCCCUUCUAGCAAAGAUCUUCUCUGGAAAAGAUCAAUUCCGUUAGCCUAUAAUAUUGCAGUUCUUUCGUCUCCUUCAAAGAUUUAUAAAUAUUUUCUGUUUCCACUCCAUUCAUUCUCAUGGAUUCUAAAAAAAAAAUUGUUUUUGUUGAUUAAUAAUAUUGCUUUCCCUUUCAGUUUUGUGGUGGUCGAUGCAUGUAGAAUAUACAGACUUUCCUAGAAUGGCGCCUUUUAGUUUUUCUGCUUGUUGUUAGUUCAUUGAUGAGAACACUUAUGUAUAUGAUUGCUGCAUGCAUGAUAUCCUGCUAUAUACUGAGAAAUAUUUUUGUUUUCUGGACAUUGUUUUCUAAAUCCUAUCAACAUAUUACCUGAUAUGUUCUUUGAAGUUUCUAUUUUAUAGCGAGCUUUGCACUGGUCAACUUGAGUAUGGUAUGGUUAUCUUUUCUUUUGUUUACAGGCGAUGUGUGGUAGAAGUUGUACUCACAGGAAGACUAUCAUUCUGUGUAUAAACCACGUUCUACGAUUCACUUCUUUUAUGCAUAUUUACUUUCCAGUUUCAGGACUGAAAUCCAUCCGUUGUAAUGAAUUUGGUUGUAUGGGCAUUACCUAUUUGACUUAGGCUUGCUUCAUCACAUAUAGACUGCUUUUCUUUUCCCCAUUGCUUGUAUGACCUAAAACUAUCAUGUAUAUGAGGCAAGUUAUUAGCAAUGUUUCACAUUUUCUUACUUG